rnacentral:misc_RNA from 1 species
CUUCUUGGCACAUGCAAACUUCCUAGCAUCGACCGCCCCCGCUGCGGCCCUCACGCCCGCGCGCCGUCCCUACGCCCGCCGCGAAACCCUCACCGCGACCGCUCCACGGAUCCCACCGCGCGACGCCGCUACAGCACACCCGCCAGCCAUGCCGCACCACACGCGUGCAUUGGCCGCUUCCCUACGCGCGCGGGAACCGCCCGCACAGCCCGCCGCGACCCGCACGCCUAGCCUCCGCCCGCUGCGCCAUGGCAGAUGCCGCAUGGAGGCCGAUGGCGGGGAGCUCCGCCUCGCUCCCUUCAGCGACACAUGC